rnacentral:rRNA from 1 species
GAUGAACGCUAGCUACAGGCUUAACACAUGCAAGUCGAGGGGCAGCAUUUCAGUUUGCUUGCAAACUGGAGAUGGCGACCGGCGCACGGGUGAGUAACACGUAUCCAACCUGCCGAUAACUCGGGGAUAGCCUUUCGAAAGGAAGAUUAAUACCCGAUGGUAUAAUCAGACCGCAUGGUCUUGUUAUUAAAGAAUUUCGGUUAUCGAUGGGGAUGCGUUCCAUUAGGCAGUUGGUGAGGUAACGGCUCACCAAACCUUCGAUGGAUAGGGGUUCUGAGAGGAAGGUCCCCCACAUUGGAACUGAGACACGGUCCAAACUCCUACGGGAGGCAGCAGUGAGGAAUAUUGGUCAAUGGGCGCAGGCCUGAACCAGCCAAGUAGCGUGAAGGAUGACUGCCCUAUGGGUUGUAAACUUCUUUUAUAUGGGAAUAAAGUUUUCCACGUGUGGAAUUUUGUAUGUACCAUAUGAAUAAGGAUCGGCUAACUCCGUGCCAGCAGCCGCGGUAAUACGGAGGAUCCGAGCGUUAUCCGGAUUUAUUGGGUUUAAAGGGAGCGUAGGUGGACAGUUAAGUCAGUUGUGAAAGUUUGCGGCUCAACCGUAAAAUUGCAGUUGAUACUGGCUGUCUUGAGUACAGUAGAGGUGGGCGGAAUUCGUGGUGUAGCGGUGAAAUGCUUAGAUAUCACGAAGAACUCCGAUUGCGAAGGCAGCUCACUGGACUGCAACUGACACUGAUGCUCGAAAGUGUGGGUAUCAAACAGGAUUAGAUACCCUGGUAGUCCACACAGUAAACGAUGAAUACUCGCUGUUUGCGAUAUACAGUAAGCGGCCAAGCGAAAGCAUUAAGUAUUCCACCUGGGGAGUACGCCGGCAACGGUGAAACUCAAAGGAAUUGACGGGGGCCCGCACAAGCGGAGGAACAUGUGGUUUAAUUCGAUGAUACGCGAGGAACCUUACCCGGGCUUAAAUUGCAUUUGAAUAUAUUGGAAACAGUAUAGCCGUAAGGCAAAUGUGAAGGUGCUGCAUGGUUGUCGUCAGCUCGUGCCGUGAGGUGUCGGCUUAAGUGCCAUAACGAGCGCAACCCUUAUCUUUAGUUACUAACAGGUCAUGCUGAGGACUCUAGAGAGACUGCCGUCGUAAGAUGUGAGGAAGGUGGGGAUGACGUCAAAUCAGCACGGCCCUUACGUCCGGGGCUACACACGUGUUACAAUGGGGGGUACAGAAGGCAGCUACCUGGUGACAGGAUGCUAAUCCCAAAAGCCUCUCUCAGUUCGGAUCGAAGUCUGCAACCCGACUUCGUGAAGCUGGAUUCGCUAGUAAUCGCGCAUCAGCCAUGGCGCGGUGAAUACGUUCCCGGGCCU